ACUCCUACGGGAGGCAGCAGUAGGGAAUCUUCCACAAUGGGCGCAAGCCUGAUGGAGCAACACCGCGUGAGUGAAGAAGGGUUUCGGCUCGUAAAGCUCUGUUGUUAAAGAAGAACACGUAUGAGAGUAACUGUUCAUACGUUGACGGUAUUUAACCAGAAAGUCACGGCUAACUACGUGCCAGCAGCCGCGGUAAUACGUAGGUGGCAAGCGUUAUCCGGAUUUAUUGGGCGUAAAGAGAGUGCAGGCGGUUUUCUAAGUCUGAUGUGAAAGCCUUCGGCUUAACCGGAGAAGUGCAUCGGAAACUGGAUAACUUGAGUGCAGAAGAGGGUAGUGGAACUCCAUGUGUAGCGGUGGAAUGCGUAGAUAUAUGGAAGAACACCAGUGGCGAAGGCGGCUACCUGGUCUGCAACUGACGCUGAAACUCGAAAGCAUGGGUAGCGAACAGGAUUAGAUACCCCGUGGUAGGAUAGCG
rnacentral:rRNA from 1 species